GCGUUGCGUGAGGGAUGGCAGCGAAAAUCCCUUAUGUUUUUUAACCUGAAUUUAUUUCAGGUUCUAAAAAAACAUAAAGAUUGUAGCGAACAGCCCGACCCGAA
rnacentral:sRNA from 1 species